AUGGGCACAUUGGCGGCAGCCGGUGGCAGCGGGAACCCCACCGCCGGAUUCCAGAAGGUGCAGCUCGCCGACGGCGACUUCCAGGUGCAGAGCCCGUACAACGUUCCGGAGAGCCAGCGGUUCCAAUACCGCAACGGUGGCCACGACUACUCGUCGGGGUUGUGGCAGUUUGAGGGCUAUGGCUACGUGCCGUCCGGGACUUCCGGCGUGUCGGUGAUGCAGAUCCACAACGAGGAGGGCGCCGCGCACUCGACGGUGUUGAUGUUGCACGUCUACAACGGAGUCCUGCGGUUCUACAGCGGGGUGGUCAUCGAGCCCAACAUCUACGACCGGUUGUUCCGCCUCAACGUGAUGCAUGAUGUCGGCGCGUCCACGGUGGCCGUUUAUGUCGACGGCGAGCACAAGUUCAGCACCAGCGUGACCCCGAGCAAGUCAUACUACUGA
rnacentral:rRNA from 1 species